AAAGAAACCAACAGGGAUUGCCCCAGUAACGGCGAGUGAAGCGGCAACAGCUCAAAUUUGAAAUCUGGCCCCCAGGGCCCGAGUUGUAAUUUGCAGAGGAUGCUUUUGGCGCGGUGCCUUCCGAGUUCCCUGGAACGGGACGCCAUAGAGGGUGAGAGCCCCGUCUGGUCGGACGCCUAGCCUGUGUAAAGCUCCUUCGACGAGUCGAGUAGUUUGGGAAUGCUGCUCUAAAUGGGAGGUAUAUGUCUUCUAAAGCUAAAUACCGGCCAGAGACCGAUAGCGCACAAGUAGAGUGAUCGAAAGAUGAAAAGCACUUUGAAAAGAGGGUUAAAUAGUACGUGAAAUUGUUGAAAGGGAAGCGCUUGUGACCAGACUUGGGCCCGGUGGAUCAUCCAGCGUUCUCGCUGGUGCACUCCGCCGGGUUCAGGCCAGCAUCAGUUCGCCGCGGGGGAAAAAGGCUUCGGGAACGUGGCUCCUACGGGAGUGUUAUAGCCCGUUGCAUAAUACCCUGGGGCGGACUGAGGUUCGCGCUCCGCAAGGAUGCUGGCGUAAUGGUCAUCAGCGACC
rnacentral:rRNA from 1 species